AUUGAACGCUGGCGGCAUGCCUUACACAUGCAAGUCGAACGGUAACAGGUCUUCGGAUGCUGACGAGUGGCGAACGGGUGAGUAAUGCAUCGGAACGUGCCCAGUAGUGGGGGAUAGCCCGGCGAAAGCCGGAUUAAUACCGCAUACGACCUGAGGGUGAAAGGGGGGGGAUCGCAAGACCUCUCGCUAUUGGAGCGGCCGAUGUCAGAUUAGCUAGUUGGUGGGGUAAAGGCCUACCAAGGCAACGAUCUGUAGUUGGUCUGAGAGGACGACCAGCCACACUGGGACUGAGACACGGCCCAGACUCCUACGGGAGGCAGCAGUGGGGAAUUUUGGACAAUGGGCGCAAGCCUGAUUCAGCUCUGCCGCGUGCAGGAAGAAGGCCUUCGGGUUGUAAACUGCUUUUGUCAGGGAAGAAAUCUUCUGGGUUAAUACCUCGGGAGGAUGACGGUACCUGAAGAAUAAGCACCGGCUAACUACGUGCCAGCCGCCGCCGUAAAAC
rnacentral:rRNA from 1 species